rnacentral:rRNA from 1 species
UCGAGAAUUUUUCUCAAUGGGGGAAACCCUGAAGGAGCGACGCCGCGUGAAGGAUGAAGGUCUUCGGAUUGUAAACUUCUGUCAUUAGAGAACAAUUCGCCGGGGAGUAACUGCCUCGGCGUUGAUAGUAUCUGAAGAGGAAGAGACGGCUAACUCUGUGCCAGCAGCCGCGGUAAUACAGAGGUCUCAAGCGUUGUUCGGAUUCAUUGGGCGUAAAGGGUGCGUAGGCGGCGAGGUAAGUCGGAUGUGAAAUCUCAGGGCUCAACCCUGAAACUGCAUUCGAUACUGCUUUGCUAGAGGACUGGAGAGGAGAUUGGAAUUCAUGGUGUAGCAGUGAAAUGCGUAGAUAUCAUGAGGAAGACCAGUGGCGAAGGCGGAUCUCUGGACAGUUCCUGACGCUGAUGCACGAAGGCCAGGGGAGCAAACGG